GGAGAGAUGGCUCAGUGGUUAAGAGCACUGACCUCUUCCAGAGGUCCUGAGUUCAAUUCCCAGCAACCACA
rnacentral:tRNA from 1 species